UACGUAGGGUGCAAGCGUUAAUCGGAAUUACUGGGCGUAAAGCGUGCGCAGGCGGUUUUGUAAGACAGCUGUGAAAUCCCCGGGCUUAACCUGGGAACUGCGGUUGUGACUGCAAGACUGGAGUGUGGCAGAGGGGGGUGGAAUUCCACGUGUAGCAGUGAAAUGCGUAGAGAUGUGGAGGAACACCGAUGGCGAAGGCAGCCCCCUGGGUUAACACUGACGCUCAUGCACGAAAGCGUGGGGAGCAAACAGG
rnacentral:rRNA from 1 species